AUGUGAUAGAUAAUUAUGCUUUUUAUAUAUCGAACAUGACACCCCCGUCUCUAAUUUGACCUUAUUAAAUUAAACAUGGUCAAACAACUUCAUCGAUUAAACAAAGUAAAAAAUGCUUACUAAUUUUUUUUUAUAAUUAACGUUACUUCCGGGAAGCAUUAUUUGUUCUAAUUUAGUUUGUAAUCAACAACUUGAUGACCCCAUAAAAACAAAAAGUCUCUCUCUAUAUAUAUGACCACCAUUUAGGUGUUUGCAAAGUCCAUAAAUUUUAUCAAAAAAAAAAAUGAAUUGGAAGUUGGUUUUGCUUACUGGUUGGAUUCUCCUCUCGUCUAUUGCACUAAACCCAACAUUGGCUAAAGUAACUUAUCCAUCAUCUCUCACGACAAGGAAAGGGAGGAUCGGAGGUAUACACAUCAGCAAAGGAAUGAAGAUUGGCUUUAGAGGCAGUUUUUCUAGAUCUGCUCAUCAUGGAAACGAUCCACCGAGUCAUAAUUUCUAAUUAGUUAUUGGAUUUUAUCGUUCUGUUCUAUAUAUAUCUUAACUUGUGAUUUCUAAGUAGUUGUUUGAUUAUGUACGUAUUAUAAUACUCUUUGAAUAAAUGAAAUGGAACUUCAAUAUAUGAUUAAAUUAUUUAAUACUUAA